rnacentral:rRNA from 1 species
UUAUACAUAUUGUAGAAUAUUAAAUAUUUAACUUAAUUAUUUUUAGAUCUACAUUAAAAUUAUUUAAAUACUAAUCAGAGAGAUUAAUUUUAAUUCAAAAGAAUAAACAUUUAAAUACUAUUUAUUUAACAAAGUAUGAAAAAUACUGAAUCUAAAUUUUAUUUUAGUUUAAAAAGUUAGAAAUUACAUUAAAUGUAUAUAAAUUUAAAAUUUAACAAAUUUAAAAAUUUAACAUUUAAAAUUUAAAAUAUAGAGCAAUCUAUUAAAAGAAUUUAUAUUGAUUCUAACCAAUUAGGUGCCAGCAGUUGCGGUUAAACCUAAAGUUAACUAACUGGAUAUUUAAAUGCAUUAUAUUGAGUGUGUAAGAUACUAGUAAAAUAAAUUAUAAGUAAGUGAAAUUUUUAAAAUUUAUAACAUCUUGACAAUAAAAAUUUAAUUUUCUAUUAAAAACUAGGAUUAGAUACCCUACUAUUUAGAAUAAUUAUAAUUAAAGUAGUAAAAGAAAAUCUUCAAACUUAAAAAAUUUGGCGGUAGUUUAAUCUAACUAGAGGAAUCUGCUCUGUAAUUGACAAUCCACAAUCUGUUGUAUUUUAUAUAAAUAUAUUUAUAUAUCGCUGUUAAACAUAAAUUUAAAAAUAAUAUUUAAAAUUUGAUUAAACUCAAAAAAUCAAGUCAACACAUAAUCUUUAGAAGUGAAGUGGAUUACAUUUAAAUUAGAUUAAUAGAUCAAUCUUUUUAAAUAAACUUCUUAAAAAGGAUUUAGAAGUAAAUUAAAAUAAAGUUUUUUAAUUAAAUCUGACAUAAACUAUGUACAAAUCGCCCGUCACUCUUAUAUAAAUUAAGAUAAGUCGUAACAAAGUAAGAUUACUGGAAAGUAAUAUUAGAUUAACACAAUUAACUUAAGUUUUAAACGGUAGCCUUUGAAGUUAAGUAAAUUAAUUAAUUUUAGUAAGUUAAUACCUAAAAGAUUUAGUUAAAAGUUAAAAUAAUAUUAAUUUGUCAGAUUAAAGUUAGACCACAGUAAAAAAUCUAAUCUUUAUAAAAGACAAAUAACU